AUCUUGUCUUAUUGACUAUGUGUGCCUGCUAUAUCACAACUGUCUAAGAUUACUUCCAAACUUCUUCCUGCUACAAAUAUUCGGAGACAUUCCUCCAUUCAAGAAAAGUGGCCUUGCUCUUAUGUCAUCUGACUAAAGGCUUCAUAGACCAAAGAUAACCAUCCAACCUAUUGGAAUACUGAAACAAUUGCUGCCUGCUGUCCACACAUCACAUAAAAUAUGUGGAUAUUCUCAAUUCUGCAAAAAAGAAUUGGAAGCUGAUCAAGCAAUACUGGAACUUCCUCUGCUUCAGAAGACAGAGACAUCCUGGCCUCCAUGCAGAGGAAUGUGUGGAUGGACAUAUAUUUAAGGAAGACACUAAACCAGAGACUACUACAUUACACCCUCUUAGAAGACUUCUAAGAUUGUUGUCAUGCCUACCAUGGACAUUCAGAUGAUGUGUAUUCUUGAUUGUGAUUUCAAGUUUGGAGCUGAUGAAGGAACCCAGGAGAUGAGCAUAUGCCUGAGAAGAACUAGUGUGGAACUGUCAGCCAGGUUUUUGAUGAGUGCUCAGACUGCUUCCUGAUCCAGCACCACAUUUACUAUAGUGGACAGAUGCUCUAGUCUCUGAUGAGGAGUUGCUAGCUGUUAGGAAGUACCUGGAAUGGUCUCCACUGCAUGAGGUUUGAAGUCUCCAGAGCAGCAAGGAGAGUGGGGAAUAGAACUCAUCAUCUUUAGGUCACUCAUCAUCGAUGGAUUUUUCCCAACAUUAGUAUACAGACAUGGAUGGUUGAACACAAACCUGUCAGGCUGAUAAAGCACUAGACAUCAACUAUCUUUCUCAGAACCAUGUUCAGAUUGCUGCACAUCCUCCUGAAGAUGCCACGGAUGACAUGGUUCCUUGUGAUUGUUGUUCUCUUCUUGUUGUUGCUGUUUUCUUUUAACUUUUGAAGAGGAUACUUUAUUAGUCUGUUGCUAUGUUAGUCAUCUCCUGGCAUUAGAAACCAGCAUCCCACUGCUUAAAUGUUUUACAUUUCCUACUCUUUUUGGAAAACACAAUGUAUGAACAUCAUUUUUUUCCUAUUGUUUCAAAGACAUACCACUAUGUAAUUCAACUUUACAAUUGUAAUCAUUUUGACCAAUAUUCACAUGAAUAUAAAUUUUAUGUGUAAACUU
rnacentral:lncRNA from 1 species